AGGGGCCACGCUUGGCCCAGAGCACGAGCGCAUCGCCGAGGUUUCCAGCGCGAGCAACGGGCGUUCCUUCCGCGAAGGCCAACGACGACCGUGAGGCCCGGAAGUACGCUGAAUCUGGAGGACGAGUCUUGGCGUCGUCCACGUGGUGGAGACGCUGACGAGGAGCAGCAAUAAACGCCAGCCCAGCAAGAUCCCCCCCCCCACACACACACACACACAGUUAUAAAAUCUUCAUGACUAAAAUUGGAAUAUUAUACAAAAUACGAAGGAAAUAAAUCGCCAGUUGCAAAAGAAUGCAAUUGAAUAGUGAUUAAAAAGUGUCAAGAGAAAGCAAAUGAGGAAGAGGAGAGGAAAGGAAGGGGAAAAUUUGGUCUGCGAAAGCAAAUUCGCAACGCAAAAAGGGAAAUUUUGUUUGUUUUGUUUGUGUGACCAAGAGCAAGAACACAGUUGAUGGAAAAGAAGAACACGUCUAGCCCGAGUUUGGACGAACUAGUCACUUGGAUUGAGCUAGAUUGUGGCCAGGAUACGAGUUUUUGUGAAAGUUUUUACCUAUUGAGUUUCCUGCAAAAAUAAAAUGAUUUUCCUUCAA